rnacentral:rRNA from 1 species
AAGGCGAUCUGCUGGAACUCAACUGACGCUAAGGCGCGAAAGCGUGGGGAGCAAACAGGAUUAGAUACCCUGGUAGUCCACGCCCUAAACGAUGUACACUAGUUGUUGGGGUGCUAGUCAUCUCAGUAAUGCAGCUAACGCAUUAAGUGUACCGCCUGGGGAGUACGGUCGCAAGAUUAAAACUCAAAGGAAUAGACGGGGACCCGCACAAGCGGUGGAGCAUGUGGUUUAAUUCGAAGAUACGCGAAGAACCUUACCUGGGCUUGAUAUCCUAAGAACCUUUUAGAGAUAAGAGGGUGCUAGCUUGCUAGAACUUAGAGACAGGUGCUGCACGGCUGUCGUCAGCUCGUGUCGUGAGAUGUUGGGUUAAGUCCCGCAACGAGCGCAACCCACGUAUUUAGUUGCUAACGGUUCGGCCGAGCACUCUAAAUAGACUGCCUUCGUAAGGAGGAGGAAGGUGUGGACGACGUCAAGUCAUCAUGGCCCUUAUGCCCAGGGCGACACACGUGCUACAAUGGCAUAUACAAUGAGACGCAAUACCGCGAGGUGGAGCAAAUCUAUAAAAUAUGUCCCAGUUCGGAUUGUUCUCUGCAACUCGAGAGCAUGAAGCCGGAAUCGCUAGUAAUCGUAGAUCAGCCAUGCUACGGUGAAUACGUUCCCGGGUCUUGUACUCACCGCCCGUCACACCAUGGGAGUUGAUUUCACUCGAAGCCGGAAUACUAAACUAGUUACCGUCCACAGUGGAAUCAGCGACUGGGGUGAAGUCGUAACAAGGUAACCGUAGGAGAACCUGCGGUUG